rnacentral:rRNA from 1 species
AUUGAACGCUGGCGGCAGGCUUAACACAUGCAAGUCGAACGGUAACAUAAAGAAGCUUGCUUCUUUGAUGACGAGUGGCGGACGGGUGAGUAAUGCUUGGGAAUCUGGCUUAUGGAGGGGGAUAACUACGGGAAACUGUAGCUAAUACCGCGUAGAAUCGGGAGAUGAAAGUGUGGGACCUUCGGGCCACAUGCCAUAGGAUGAGCCCAAGUGGGAUUAGGUAGUUGGUGAGGUAAAGGCUCACCAAGCCGACGAUCUCUAGCUGGUCUGAGAGGAUGACCAGCCACACUGGGACUGAGACACGGCCCAGACUCCUACGGGAGGCAGCAGUGGGGAAUAUUGCGCAAUGGGGGCAACCCUGACGCAGCCAUGCCGCGUGAAUGAAGAAGGCCUUCGGGUUGUAAAGUUCUUUCGGUAGCGAGGAAGGCAUUUAGUUUAAUAGACUAGGUGAUUGAC